UAAACCUACGGGGCGCAGCAGUGAGGGAUAUUGGUCAAUGGGCGCGAGCCUGAACCAGCAAGUCGCGUGAGGGGAGACGGUCCUAUGGAUUGUAAACCUCUUUUGUCGGGGAGCAAAAGACGCCACGUGUGGCGUUCCGAGAGUACCCGAAGAAAAAGCAUCGGCUAACUCCGUGCCAGCAGCCGCGGUAAUACGGAGGAUGCGAGCGUUAUCCGGAUUUAUUGGGUUUAAAGGGUGCGCAGGCGGAAGAUCAUGUCAGCGGUAAAAUUGAGAGGCUCUACCUCU
rnacentral:rRNA from 1 species